rnacentral:rRNA from 1 species
UCUACCGAUUGGACGCUGCGGUGAAGACCUGGGAUUGGGGUGGUGGUGUUUGAGUGGUGGGAUUCGGUUCUCGCCCCGCCACCGUCCCGAGAACUCGUCUGAACCCCAUCGUCUAGAGGAAGAAGAAGUCGUAACAAGGUU